UACAGAGGUCUCAAGCGUUGUUCGGAUUCAUUGGGCGUAAAGGGUGCGUAGGUGGCCCGGUAAGUCCGCUCUGAAAGUCCAGGGCUCAACCCUGGAAAGCGGGUGGAUACUGCCGGGCUAGAAUCCGGAAGAGGCGAGUGGAAUUCCUGGUGUAGCGGUGGAAUGCGCAGAUAUCAGGAGGAACACCAAUAGCGAAGGCAGCUCGCUGGGACGGUAUUGACGCUGAGGCGCGAAAGCGUGGGGAGCAAACAGG
rnacentral:rRNA from 1 species